CCUACGGGAGGCAGCAGUGAGGAAUAUUGGUCAAUGGGCUUACGCCUGAACCAGCCAAGUCGCGUGAGGGAAGACUGCCCUAUGGGUUGUAAACCUCUUUUGUCAGGGAGCAACGCCGGCUACGUGUAGCCGGACUGAGAGUACCUGAAGAAAAAGCAUCGGCUAACUACGUGCCAGCAACCGCGGUAAUACGUAGGUGGCAAGCGUUGUCCGGAUUUAUUGGGCGUAAAGCGAGUGCAGGCGGUUCAAUAAGUCUGAU
rnacentral:rRNA from 1 species